UUCAGCUGCAAAGAGUGCACCUGUGAUACCAGCUCCUAGCAAUCCAACACCAAUAAUCUUGAUUCUGCAAAUUUUCACUUCCAAGAAGUUUACAAAACACAUCUGUAAUAUUUAAAGGUAAAGAAAAAAUAUUUCCUGGAACUUUCACCUUUAGUGAGUUAGAAGAAUGCCAUUUGAAGUAAAUAGAGAUUCAUUGUUUCUCUGUAUUUCUCAAAGAAUCAGUAGAGAUAUUGAGAGGAAAAAGUUCUUUCUCAUAUAAAUUUGGAAUAUUGGAAAGAAAUUACUGGAAGAAAAGAAAAUAUUAGAAACAUGGGUAGUGAUGAAGCAAAGAAUCUGAAAUGCUUCACUCAAAACCUCUUGAACUGUGGAAACGAUGGGGAAGAGAGUAUGUCAAAUGAGAUCCCGGGGAAGGAAUGCGAGCUUGAUAGCUUGACCAACAGCAACAAAAUGACCUGAGAACUUACUAGAAAUGCAAAUCCUUGGGCCUCACCUUAGACUGAAUCAGAAACUCUGGGAGUGGGGCCAGCAAUCUGUUUUGACAAGCCCUUUGGGUGAUUCAAUUGCUGAUUAAAGUGAGAAAAUCACCACUUGAGUGCAGCAAGGAGAGCAGUGUGUUGGGAUGACAUGGGAGGUUUAAAAAUCUGUCAAAUAACAACAACAAAAAAAAUUCUUGUCCCUGUCAUCAACUUCCAUGUCAUGAGGAUAAAAGGGAAGUUUGAAAAAUUAUUUGAGAAAAUAUGGUAAGACUGGCAGCAAAUUGUAACUUUAAAAAUUAGUAGGCACAUUAGGCAAGCUUCUACCACACCUCUUUCUUACCCAGAUUCACACACACAAACCAGGCUGUCCAAAGCACAGUCCUGCUUAAUUAGAUACUGAGGAGCCAAAACUUUUCCACCCCCUCCCCUCAGUCCCUAAGACACAACACAUCAGUUUCCAUGAUUGCUGUUCAGCAGAACCAGGCCAAUCUGGUUUUUUGCAGCUUGCCUAUUAAAAAGUGACUUUCACACCCUCCUGGGUUAUGUACCAAGACCUUUGCCCUUUUGUGGCUUAGCAGAAUGAUUUAUUUGUGUCAUUAGUCAAUCUAUUAUUUCAUCCAAAAUAUUUCCAUUACCUGAAAUAAACUGCAGUCCCAAUGAUGA
rnacentral:lncRNA from 1 species